AAAGGUACUCACAAAGGUACUUACAAAUGUACUCACAAAGGAACUCACAAAUGUACUCACAAAGGUACUCACAAAGGAACUCACAAAGGUACUCACAAA